GAUGAACGCUGGCGGCGUGCCUAAUACAUGCAAGUCGAGCGAACAGACGAGUAGCUUGCUCCUCUGACGUUAGCGGCGGACGGGUGAGUAACACGUGGAUAACCUCCCUAUAAGACUGGGAUAACUUCGGGAAACCGGAGCUAAUACCGGAUAAUAUAUUGAACCGCAUGUUUCAAUAGUGAAAGACGGUUUUGCUGUCACUUAUAGAUGGAUCCGCGCCGCAUUAGCUAGUUGGUAAGGUAACGGCUUACCAAGGCAACGAUGCGUAGCCGACCUGAGAGGGUGAUCGGCCACACUGGAACUGAGACACGGUCCAGACUCCUACGGGAGGCAGCAGUAGGGAAUCUUCCGCAAUGGGCGAAAGCCUGACGGAGCAACGCCGCGUGAGUGAUGAAGGUCUUCGGAUCGUAAAACUCUGUUAUUAGGGAAGAACAAAUGUGUAAGUAACGAUGCACGUCUUGACGGUACCUAAUCAGAAAGCCACGGCUAACUACGUG
rnacentral:rRNA from 1 species